GCCGCGUAAUAUGGCCCAUAUAAAUUAAUUGGACUAAGAAAAACCUAAAAGUAAAUGGCAGCCGCCGGAGGUAACCUUAAUUCUCUGAGAUGAGUGUCUUUUGUGUAUUUAUAUGGUUUCGCGUUCUGCAAAUCGUAGGAGCUUCUUCUCUAUUAAUGUCUGAAUGAUAUAAUUCGUGAUCUUAGGGUUGAAUAUGGUGAUGAUACAAGAGUAUUGUGGACUAGAGUUUCAGAUCUGGGAUUCUUCUCCCAGAAGUUGAAGAUUAACCCUUGGCUGUCUGAGUAUUAAUUCCCCUUUCACUCAAUAUCUUAUCUUUUGAUUGAUUUGAAGAUAAAUUUCUCUGUUAUUGUUUUUUUUGUUGGUUGAUGUUUUUUUUUACUUAUGAGC